rnacentral:rRNA from 1 species
ACUCCUACGGGAGGCAGCAGCAGGGAAUCUUGCGCAAUGGGCGAAAGCCUGACGCAGCGACACCGCGUGGGGGAAGAAGGCUUUCGGGUUGUAAACCCCUUUUCUCGGGGAAGAGUAAGGACGGUACCCGAGGAAUAAGCCUCGGCUAACUACGUGCCAGCAGCCGCGGUAAGACGUAGGAGGCGAGCGUUGUCCGGAUUUACUGGGCGUAAAGGGCGAGUAGGCGGCCCGCCAAGUCUCAUGUGAAAUCUCUCGGCUCAACUGGGAGGGGUCAUGGGAAACUGGCGGGCUCGAGGGCAGUAGAGGAGAGUGGAAUUCCCGGAGUAGCGGUGAAAUGCGUAGAUACCGGGAGGAACACCCGAGGCGAAGGCGACUCUCUGGGCUGCACCUGACGCUGAGGCGCGAGAGCAUGGGGAGCGAACCGGAUUAGAUACCCGGGUAGUCCAUGCCCUAAACGAUGGAUACUAGGCAUUGGGGGUAUCGACCCCCCCUGUGCCGUAGCUAACGCGAUAAGUAUCCCGCCUGGGGAGUACGGCCGCAAGGCUAAAACUCAAAGGAAUUGACGGGCCCCCGCACAAGCAGCGGAGCGUGUUCUUUAAUUCGAUGACAAGCGAAGAACCUUACCAGGGCUUGACAUGCUUCUGUAAGCCGCCGAAAGGCGGGCCUCCUUCGGGACAGAUGCACAGAUGUUGCAUGGCUGUCGUCAGCUCGUGUCGUGAGAU